GCUAUCAUGCAAGUCGUACGGUAACAUGAGUAGCAAUACUUGAUGACGAGUGGCGCACGGGUGCGUAACACGUAUGCAAUCUACCCUUAACUGGAGGAUAGCUCGGAGAAAUCCGGAUUAAUACUCCAUAAUAUUAAGAAAAGGCAUCUUUUUUUAAUUAAAGCUCCGGCGGUUAAGGAUGAGCAUGCGUUGCAUUAGCUAGUUGGAGAGGUAACGGCUCACCAAGGCUACGAUGCAUAGGGGGUCUGAGAGGAUGAUCCCCCACACUGGUACUGAGACACGGACCAGACUCCUACGGGAGGCAGCAGUAAGGAAUAUUGGACAAUGGUGGCAACACUGAUCCAGCCAUGCCGCGUGAAGGAUGAAGGCCCUACGGGUUGUAAACUUCUUUUGAACGAGAGAAAACCCGAGUACGUGUACUCGGUUGAUAGUAUCGUUAGAAUAAGGGUCGGCUAACUUCGUGCCAGCAGCCGCGGUAAUACGAAGGACCCGAGCGUUAUCCGGAUUCAUUGGGUUUAAAGGGUGCGUAGGUGGAAAGGUAAGUCAGUGGUGAAAUCUUGCAGCUUAACUGUAAAACUGCCGUUGAUACUGCUUUUCUUGAGUGUAGUUGAUGUGGGCGGAAUAUGUCAUGUAGUGGUGAAAUACUUAGAUAUGACAUAGAACACCGAUUGCGAAGGCAGCUCACAAAGCUAUAACUGACACUGAUGCACGAAAGCGUGGGGAUCAAACAGGAUUAGAUACCCUGGUAGUCCACGCCCUAAACUAUGAUCACUCGCUGUUGGCGAUACACUGUCAGCGGCUAAGCGAAAGCGUUAAGUGAUCCACCUGGGGAGUACGACCGCAAGGUUGAAACUCAAAGGAAUUGACGGGGGCCCGCACAAGCGGAGGAGCAUGUGGUUUAAUUCGAUGAUACGCGAGGAACCNUUACCAGGGCUUGAAAGUUAGUGACUGCUGCCGAAGGGUAGCUUUUC
rnacentral:rRNA from 1 species